GGCGUGAUAGCUCAGUUGGUUAGAGCACAGCACUCAUAAUGCUGGGGUCGGUGGUUCAAGUCCACCUCACGCUA
rnacentral:tRNA from 1 species